rnacentral:rRNA from 1 species
GGUUGACCUCGGAUCAGGUAGGGAUACCCGCUGAACUUAAGCAUAUCAAUAAGCGGAGGAAAAGAAACCAACAGGGAUUGCCUUAGUAACGGCGAGUGAAGCGGCAACAGCUCAAAUUUGAAAGCUGGCUCUUUCAGGGUCCGCAUUGUAAUUUGUAGAGGAUGAUUCGGCGAGGGCUCCCGCCUAAGUCCCCUGGAACGGGGCGUCAUAGAGGGUGAGAAUCCCGUAUGCGGUGGGUUGCCUUAGCCAUGUGAAUCUCCUUCGACGAGUCGAGUUGUUUGGGAAUGCAGCUCUAAAUGGGAGGUAAAUUUCUUCUAAAGCUAAAUACCGGCCAGAGACCGAUAGCGCACAAGUAGAGUGAUCGAAAGAUGAAAAGCACUUUGGAAAGAGAGUUAAAAAGUACGUGAAAUUGUUGAAAGGGAAGCGCUUGCAACCAGACUUGUCCGCAGUUGCUCAGCCGGUCUCCUGACCGGCGUACUCUUCUGCGGCCAGGCCAGCAUCAGUUCGGGCGGUCGGAUAAAGACCUCGGGAAUGUAGCUCCUCUCGGGGAGUGUUAUAGCCCGGGGUGGAAUGCGGCCAGCCUGGACUGAGGAUCUCGCUUCGGCAAGGAUGCUGGCGUAAUGGUUGUAAGCGGCCCGUCUUGAAACACGGACCAAGGAGUCUAACAUCUAUGCGAGUGUUUGGGUGUCAAACCCAUACGCGUAAUGAAAGUGAACGGAGGUGGGAACCCUCACGGGUGCACCAUCGGCCGAUCCUGAUGUCUUCGGAUGGAUUUGAGCAAGAGCAUAGCUGUUGGGACCCGAAAGAUGGUGAACUAUGCCUGAAUAGGGUGAAGCCAGAGGAAACUCUGGUGGAGGCUCGCAGCGGUUCUGACGUGCAAAUCGAUCGUCAAAUUUGGGUAUAGGGGCGAAAGACUAAUCGAACC